rnacentral:rRNA from 1 species
UACGGGGGAGGCAAGCGUUGUUCGGAUUUAUUUGGGCGUAAAGAGCUCGUAGGCGGCUUGUCGCGUCGAACUGUGGAAAACCCGCGGCUCCAACCGCGGCCUGCAGCCGGAUACGGGCAGGCUAGAGUUCGGUAGGGGAGACUGGAAAUUCCUGGUGUAGCGGUGAAAUGCGCAGAUAUCAGGAGGAACACCGGUGGCGAAGGCGGGUCUCUGGGCCGAUACUGACGCUGAGGAGCGAAAGCGUGGGGAGCGAACAGG